UUCUCCCAGUAACUUUCAUUUUAUCCAAAUAACCCUGGAUGCCAUUUACCUCAAAACUGCAAAGGUUAAGCAAGCAUGCGUACAGUAUGAACAUCUAACGUUGCUUUGUUACACAUUCAUGAUCUGGAUACGAAUGCUUUUGUAUUUUUAGACAAGAUUACACAGACACAUGGGAGGAUGGACAGACUGACAGCGUGAUUCCUGUAACUACACCUGUACUUCGAUGAGCGGAUGCAUCACAUCUACAUCGUUUUCCAUAACUAAAACAGGAAUUCAUUUUGACUCAUCAGUCUUGGAUAA